rnacentral:rRNA from 1 species
UACGUAGGGUGCGAGCGUUAAUCGGAAUUACUGGGCGUAAAGCGUGCGCAGGCGGUGAUGUAAGACAGGUGUGAAAUCCCCGGGCUUAACCUGGGAACUGCAUUUGUGACUGCAUGGCUGAGUAGCGGUAGAGGGGGAUGGAAUUCCGCGUGUAGCAGUGAAAUGCGUAGAUAUGCGGAGGAACACCGAUGGCGAAGGCAAUCCCCCUGGGCU